rnacentral:ribozyme from 1 species
AACAAUCGAAAAAAAGCCAAACAAGUAUGUAUUUAUUUGUCUUUCUCAUUGUUUUUGUUUUCUUCUUCCUC